GCCUUUGUAGCUUAAUGGUAAAGCGAUUUCUUGAAGCGGAAUACAUGUAAGUUCGAUUCUUUCCAAAGGCA
rnacentral:tRNA from 3 species